GCAGUCGUGGCCGAGUGGUUAAAGCGAUGGACUAGAAAUCCAUUGGGAUCUCCCCGCACAGGUCAACUACUGCC
rfam:Ixodes scapularis strain Wikel colony gcontig_1107728948698, whole genome shotgun sequence.